UUCCAGCCCCUGGAGUUUCCGGUCUUCUCCAUGGGAUAUUGGGACACCUGCAAAUGAGAUCCUGGGACAACUGCCAAAAAACAAAGCCAAGAUUCCUGCCAGUGAAGAGCUUGGGAGGCAGCAGUGAUGACUGAAGGAACCUGGUUCCUGCCAUCUGCCGUGGAGGCUGGGAUUGGUUACCUACUUCUACCUGGUCCAGCUUCUGUAGGAAUUUGGAGAGUGAGCCAACUGAUGGGAGCAUUCUCCUCUAUCACCCACAAUCUCUCAAACAAAUAAGAAAUGAGCUUCAAAGUGCUCACCUAUCCGUUCCAUUGGAACAUGGGCGCUGGCUACCACCUCCU